rnacentral:rRNA from 1 species
CGCGGUAAUACCAGCUGUCCAAGUGAGAGCCACUUUUAUUGGGUCUAAAACAUCCGUAGCUUGUUAUGUAAGUCUCUUGUGAAAUCUGGCAUCUUAAGUGUCAGGCGUACAAGAGAUACUGCUUAACUAGGGACCGGGAGACGUGAGGAGUACGGAUAGGGUAGCGGUAAAAUGUGUUGAUCCUAUUUGGACUAACGAUAGCGAAGGCACCUCACGAGAACGGAUCCGACAGUGAGGGAUGAAGGCUAGGGUCGCAAAACGGAUUAGAUACCCGUGUAGUCCUAGCAGUAAACCCUGCACACUAAACAUCGGUACCUCCUCGAGAGGUAUCGGUGCUGUAGGGAAGCCGUAGAGUGUGCUACCUGGGAAGUAUAGUCGCAAGACCGAAACUUAAAGGAAUAGGCGGCGGGAUACUACAACCGGUGACGCGUGCGGUUCAAUUAGAUUCUACACCGUGAACCUCACCAGGAUCGAUAGCAGAAUGAAGGUCUGUCUGAAGGGCAUACCUGACACGCUAAGAGGAGAUGCAUGGCCGACGUCAGCCUGUGUCGUGAGAUGAUCUGUUAAAUCAGGUAACAGGCGAGACCCGUGUGCAUAUUUGCUUUGAACAAUAUGCAGACUGCCUUCGUAAGAAGGAGGAA